ACAGGUCUAGCUGACGGUAAAGUGUCUGCCUGCAAUGCAGGAGACCUGGGUUCGAUUCCUGGGUCAGGAA
rnacentral:tRNA from 1 species